CCAUGUAUAGCAUAGAAUAAAUUUUUAAAUUUUUUUGGUAUUGAUUAUUUUGAGAUGGAUAAAAUUUUUUAAUUCAAAAACAGAGCUGUAUGAUUAUGAUUUCAAACCACAUUUUGGCUGAUGCAUAGCUUCCUUGCUCUUUGUGGCGUCUGUUGUAUCAUGGUUAAAAAUAGAGUUUUUCUUUUUCAGCUGACUCCUGCAACCUGUUGCUUUUUUAGUACUAUCCCAACUCUCAUGUACUACUUAUAAUGAUUUUCGUUUUUCUAACAAAUCAUAUGACGAAUAUGUCGGUCAGUAUAUGAGCGCUUGGAUUCCGAUCCUCUGCUUGAUAUUUUACGCCUUAAGCUAUUUCCAUGGCUUUGAUUCCUACAAGAGUAGAAAAUGUUCGUUGCACCUGAACUUAGCCCUUCCUUGCUUAUUUUCUUGUGUUUUUUGAUUUCAAGUGAGUAUUGGGGUCGAACCUACAUAGUACUUACGUAUUACUUGUAUGCUCCAUACAAUCCAACAGCGCGAAGCCCCUAUGAUUGGGCAUUAAAUUAAUCACUUGAUAAGAAAUCAUUAUCAACGCAAUUAGGUUUUACAAUUUAAUUUCAAUAACCGCUGCAUAUAUAUGUACAUACUUUCUAUAAGUAGUGCCAGAAAUUCAAAAUUCAAUAAACAACAAUUAUGGUAGGGAAAAAUCAAUCAGCUAUCACUAAUUAAUAAAUCCGUCAUAAUAUUCCAGUGAAAGCUGCGACUUGUUGUUAUUCCGCGAACAAAUUUUCUUGACUACGUGCUCUCAAAUAACAACACACAUUUAUACAUUCUCAAGCUUAGUGGCGAGUAGCAGCCCUUAAUCCACAACUAUGCACGUAGACGCGUAUAAAACCGUUAAAGUCAAGCGCUCGUAAGAUUAGUUGUAUUUGACAGCGCAUGCUGCUCAGAAGUAGUUGUUAUUGCGUUAGUACUUAGACAGUGAGCUUAGCGCAAUCGCACUUACAUACAUACAUACAUACAAACUUGCAUGCGUGUCUAAGAUGAUGAAAUUCUGCGGUGUUUUUCUAUUUUUAUGGGUUUGCCUGGCAGUUGAGGCACGCCCACAGGACAUUGUCAUACAUACCUCGGUGAGCGCAACAGCGGUUGCAUCGGUGGAUCAGGCCAGCAAUGUGCGGACUUUCAACAAUGUUGCCACCGCAAGUGCCGUGCAAAAUAAUGUCUAUCAUAUUUUACUGCCACAAGGAUAAUUAGAUAUUACUUAUAAUAAUAUAUUUAAGAGCGAAAGAGAAAAGAAAUAUUUUUUUUUUAUUUUAAUUUUUUUAGCAAAUAUUAUGGUUUAAAAUACUUAAUUUAUUAUUAAAAGUAAUAAUGAAGUACAAAAAUGAAAAUAUUUUGAAAAAACA